rnacentral:rRNA from 1 species
CUACGGGAGGCUGCAGUGAGGAAUAUUGCACAAUGGGGGGAACCCUGAUGCAGCAACGCCGCGUGGAGGAUGACGCAUUUCGGUGUGUAAACUCCUUUUAUAUGUCAAGAAAAUGACGGUAGCAUAUGAAUAAGCACCGGCUAACUCCGUGCCAGCAGCCACGGUAAUACGGAGGGUGCAAGCGUUACUCGGAAUCACUGGGCGUAAAGGACGCGUAGGCGGGUUGGAAAGUCAGGUGUGAAAUCCUACAGCUUAACUGUAGAACUGCACUUGAAACUUCUAAUCUAGAGUAUGGGAGGGGGAAAUGGAAUUAGUGGUGUAGGGGUAAAAUCCGUAGAUAUCACUAGGAAUACCUAAAGCGAAGGCGAUCUCCUGGAACAUUACUGACGCUAAGGCGUGAAAGCGUGGGGAGCAAACAGGAUUAGAUACCCGCGUAGUC